rnacentral:rRNA from 1 species
UAAUACGGGGGGAGCAAGCGUUGUUCGGAUUCAUUGGGCGUAAAGGGCGCGUAGGCGGCCUGGUAAGUCUGACAUGAAAUGUACCGGUUCAACCGGGGCACUGUGUCGGAAACUGCUUGGCUUGAGGUCGAGGGAGGAAAGUGGAAUUCCUGGUGUAGCGGUGAAAUGCGUAGAUAUCAGGAGGAACACCCGUGGCGAAGGCGGCUUUCUAUCUCGAUUCUGACGCUGAGGCGCGAAAGCUAGGGGAGCAAACGGGAUUAGAUACCCCGGUAGUCCUAGCCGUAAACGAUGAACACUAGGUGUGGGAGGUAUCGACCCCUUCCGUGCCGCAGCUAACGCAUUAAGUGUUCCGCCUGGGGAGUACGGCCGCAAGGUUG